AAGACUACUUUCAGGGAUCAUUUCUAUAGUGAAUGACUAGGAAUUGUGAUGUGAAAGUGUGACGUCUUCCUAAUCACGAUGACGAGGUCUGAUGUGUUUUUCUGAGCAUGAAUCGGGUUUAAGUUCAUGAUCUAAAUAAACAUCAACUUAAACUGUUAUUUCUCUUAAACUCUUUAUUUCUCAUGAGAUAAAAUAGGAAGAGCACAUGAUCAGAGUGAU